AUUGAACGCUGGCGGCAGGCCUAACACAUGCAAGUCGAGCGAGCGGCGGACGGGUGAGUAAUGUCUGGGAAACUGCCUGAUGGAGGGGGAUAACUACUGGAAACGGUAGCUACUACCGCAUACCAUCAGAUGUGCCCAGAUGUGAUUAGCUAGUAGGUGGGGUAACGGCUCACCUCGACGACGAUCCCUAGCUGGUCUUAGAGGCUGACAGGCCACACUGGAACUGAGACACGGUCCAGACUCCUACGGGAGGCAGCAGUGGGGAAUAUUGCACAAGGGGUGCAAGCCUGAUGCAGCCAUGCCGCGUGUGUGAAGAAGGCCUUCGGGUUGUAAAGCACUUUCAGCGGGGAGGCGUUACCCGCAGAAGAAGCACCGGCUAACUCCGUGCCAGCCGCCGCGGUAAUAC
rnacentral:rRNA from 1 species